UUGACAUUCGACAAUGCCGGUAUGUGGAACAUCAGAUCAGAGAACUGGGAGAGAAGAUACUUGGGCCAGCAAUUGUACGUCAGUGUUCUGUCACCUGAAAAGUCACUAAGAGACGAGUACAACAUCCCACUCAACACUAACCUUUGCGGCAUCGUCAAGGGCUUGCCAUUACCUACACCCUACACUAUUUAAACUCACUUCGACAAAGUUUUUUCUAUUUAUAUGUAAAAUUCUACUUUCCAAGUGAGUGUACUACGUGAUUAAUUAACCCUUUCCUAAUUUCAUUAAACGUACUAUAUCAUAUAUAUAUAUAUAUAUCAUUUAACUAUAGACCAACUUGUUGUUUCCCUAGCUAAUAGUGAAACGAAAUCAACUUAAUUACGUAAUCUAAACUUCAAUUUACAGAAAUUAAUCUCAAGAAAUUAAGAAGAAAGAUAAUAUAUUAAGGUUAUAAUUUUUACCUCAUAUUGAAUCUCCUCGAUCAUAUCGAUGAGUAAAUCUGAAAAAAAAAAAAAAAAAAUCGAAGAAACCACACUAGAGAUAGAGAAUAAGAGAUUCAAAUCAUGGAAUACUAUUAACAGAUAAAUUUCACAGCUUGAUUUUGUUGGAAAGCAGAGGAAUCGAAGUUUGAAUUGUUAAUGAAUUAUGACAAUCGGAUUCGUUUAACCUAUUAUCAAACCCGAUCGGAAAACUAAAGACCAAAACUUCAGAGAAAACAAAAAAGAAACCUAGAUCGAAAGAAAACCCUAAAUCACCUGAAAGGUUAAAUUCCACCGCAAGCAAGCGUGACACAGUAGCUCUCAUCGUCAUCUAAGAGCAAAACCGGUUGACGCUUGAGGUCAAAGUCAAACAGAAGAAACGAAGAGAAUGGGAAAAGAAAGUUCACGCGCGCGUGUGUUGUGACGAUGCGAUUCGACCAAGUUACGUUUUUUUUUUUCUUUAAUGUUUUAAUGUAGUAACAUAAUUUUUUAAUUUUGUAAAAAAAACAUUUAUAUGCACUAGAUAGCCAAGUUUUACCAUU
rnacentral:lncRNA from 1 species